rnacentral:lncRNA from 1 species
CAAAGAGUCCUAUACAACAGUGGAUUCUGUCUUCCUUCCACAGCAUAUGAAAUAAUUGGUUCGUACCCUGGGUUUGAGUUAGGUUGGAAUAUUAUCAUAUAAAUGGAUGAAAAAUGACUGGCAAAGGGAGAAGCUGGAGGUCAAGGAGGUUUUGGUUUGCAUAGGACCAUGCAUCCUGUUCUAAACUACUAAGGUGUGGACAAAGCUGAACCUCUUCCUCCUCUGAUGUGCUGUGAAUCAAGGAAUAUGCAACAGAUCAAAGUCAGGUUCCUCUUCCCAGAAUAAUGUCAUGCUUUAAUUAAUGGCCAUGCGAAAUAAAUCUAAACUUUAAAAAAUUACUUUCUCA